rnacentral:rRNA from 1 species
GAUGAACGCUGGCGGCGUGCCUAAUACAUGCAAGUCGAGCGAACAGACGAGGAGCUUGCUCCUCUGACGUUAGCGGCGGACGGGUGAGUAACACGUGGAUAACCUACCUAUAAGACUGGGAUAACUUCGGGAAACCGGAGCUAAUACCGGAUAAUAUAUUGAACCGCAUGGUUCAAUAGUGAAAGACGGUUUUGCUGUCACUUAUAGAUGGAUCCGCGCCGCAUUAGCUAGUUGGUAAGGUAACGGCUUACCAAGGCGACGAUGCGUAGCCGACCUGAGAGGGUGAUCGGCUACACUGGAACUGAGACACGGUCCAGACUCCUACGGGAGGCAGCAGUAGGGAAUCUUCCGCAAUGGGCGAAAGCCUGACGGAGCAACGCCGCGUGAGUGAUGAAGGUCUGCGGAUCGUAAAACUCUGUUAUUAGGGAAGAACAAAUGUGUAAGUAACUAUGCACGUCUUGACGGUACCUAAUCAGAAAGCCACGGCUAACUACGU